GACAAACGCUGGCGGCAUGCCUAACACAUGCAAGUCGAACGGACAGAACAGGGAAGCUUUUCGGAGUGGAACUGGAAAGUUAGUGGCGGAUGGGUGAGUAACGCGUGGACAGCCUACCUUGUAAAGGGGAAUAACCUCGAGAAAUCGAAGCUAAUACCCCAUAAUAACCUUGCUUCGCAUGAAGUAAGGAGGAAAGGCGGCCUUAGCGCUGUCGAUACAAGAUGGGUCCGCGUCUGAUUAGCUAGUUGGUGAGGUAAAGGCUCACCAAGGCGACGAUCAGUAGCCGGCCUGAGAGGGUGAACGGCCACAUUGGGACUGAGACACGGCCCAAACUCCUACGGGAGGCAGCAGUGGGGAAUCUUCCGCAAUGGGCGAAAGCCUGACGGAGCAAUGCCGCGUGAGUGAAGAAGGCCUUCGGGUUGUAAAACUCUGUCCUUAUCGAAGAGAGAGUGUUGUAGUAACUGACAAUACUAGGACGGUAGAUGAGGAGGAAGCCCCGGCUAACUAUGUG
rnacentral:rRNA from 1 species